UGAUGAUGCACCUGCGUCGUCAGGGCGCUGA
rnacentral:sRNA from 1 species